rnacentral:ncRNA from 2 species
ACUGGUCCGCACGGGAGCCUGGCGACACCGGGCUGAGAGGGAGCUUGCAUCAGCUCCGACCGUCGAACCUGAUCCGGGUCAUGCCGGCGCAGGGAGCGUGUAGUGGUCAAGG